UUGCCAACCUGGCAUCUUCGUUCGUGAGUAGCCCGUCAGUCACCUGUACGUUUUUCCUGUUGACUACUUCACUGUGGACUUUGCACUACUGUAGACUCGACCUCUGCGAUUUCCCCAAAUGUGGGAAUCUCGAUUGCAUAAUUUCUGGUAGUGGGGGACUGCGUUCGCGCUCUCCCCUG
rnacentral:snRNA from 1 species